rnacentral:rRNA from 1 species
UCAUGGCUCAGAACGAACGCUGGCGGCGUGCCUAACACAUGCAAGUCGAGCGCGAAUAGGGGCAACCCUUAGUAGAGCGGCGCACGGGUGCGUAACACGUGGAUAAUCUGCCUGGAUGCCUGGGAUAACCAGUCGAAAGAUUGGCUAAUACCGGAUAAGCCCACGGUUUCUUCGGAGACUGAGGGAAAAGGUGGCCUCUGUAUACAAGCUAUCACAACCAGAUGAGUCCGCGGCCCAUCAGCUAGUUGGCGGGGUAAUGGCCCACCAAGGCAACGACGGGUAGCUGGUCUGAGAGGACGAUCAGCCACACUGGAACUGAGACACGGUCCAGACUCCUACGGGAGGCAGCAGUGGGGAAUUUUGCGCAAUGGGCGAAAGCCUGACGCAGCAACGCCGCGUGUGUGAUGAAGGUCUUUGGAUUGUAAAGCACUUUCGACCGGGACGAAACCGUAAAGCCUAAUACGCUUUGCCUUGACGGUACCGGGAGAAGAAGCACCGGCUAACUCUGUGCCAGCAGCCGCGGUAAUACAGAGGGUGCAAGCGUUGUUCGGAAUUAUUGGGCGUAAAGCGCGUGUAGGCGGCUUUGCAAGUCGGGUGUGAAAGCCCUCAGCUCAACUGAGGAAGUGCGCCCGAAACUGCAGAGCUUGAGUGCCGGAGAGGGUGGCGGAAUUCCCCAAGUAGAGGUGAAAUUCGUAGAUAUGGGGAGGAACACCGGUGGCGAAGGCGGCCACCUGGACGGUAACUGACGCUGAGACGCGAAAGCGUGGGUAGCAAACAGGAUUAGAUACCCUGGUAGUCCACGCCGUAAACGAUGAGAACUAGGUGUCGUGGGAGUUGACCCCCGCGGUGCCGUAGCUA